rnacentral:rRNA from 1 species
UACGUAGGGUGCGAGCGUUAAUCGGAAUUACUGGGCGUAAAGCGUGCGCAGGCGGUUUUGCAAGCCGGAUGUGAAAUCCCCGGGCUUAACCUGGGAAUGGCAUUUGGGACUGCAAGGCUGGAGUGCGGCAGAGGAGACUGGAAUUCCUGGUGUAGCAGUGAAAUGCGUAGAUAUCAGGAGGAACACCGAUGGCGAAGGCAGGUCUCUGGGCUGACACUGACGCUCAGGCACGAAAGCGUGGGGAGCAAACAGG